rnacentral:rRNA from 1 species
GACGAACGCUGGCGGCGUGCUUAACACAUGCAAGUCGAACGGAAAGGCCCUGCUUUUGUGGGGUGCUCGAGUGGCGAACGGGUGAGUUACCCGUGAGUAACCUGCCCUUGACUUUGGGAUAACUUCAGGAAACUGGGGCUACUACCUACUAGGAGCUCCUGCUGCUUGGUGGGGGUCGGAAAGUUUCGGCGGUUGGGAAUGUACUGGGGGCUUAUCAGCUUGUUGGUGGGGUAGUGGCUUACCAAGGCUUUGACGGGUAGCCGGCCUGAGAGGGUGACCGGACACAUUAGGACUGAGAUACGGCCCAGACUCGUACGGGAGGCAGCAGUGGGGAAUAUUGCACAAUGGGCGGAAGCCUGAUGCAGCAACGCCGCGUGCGGGAUGACGGCCUUCGGGUUGUAAAGCGCUUUCGCCUGUGACGAAGCGUGAGUGACGGUACUAGGUAAAGAAGCACCGGCUAACUACGUG